GAUGAACGCUGGCGGCGUGCCUAAUACAUGCAAGUCGAACGGAGACCCGCAAGGGUCUUAGUGGCGAACGGGUGAGUAACGCGUUGGUGACCUGCCCCGGAGCGAGGGAUAACAGGCCGAAAGGCUUGCUAAUACCGCAUGAGCAAGGAAGGGAUCAGAAGCUUUCUUGUAAAGGAGUAAUCCGCUCUGGGAGGGGCCUGCGACCCAUCAGCUAGUUGGUAAGGUAACGGCUUACCAAGGCGAUGACGGGUAGGGGACCUGAGAGGGUGACCCCCCACAAUGGAACUGAAACACGGUCCAUACACCUACGGGUGGCAG
rnacentral:rRNA from 1 species